UUUAAUUAAUCACCAAGUUUAACAACAUGAAGAAAGAUCAGAACAAAAAUAAAAUAAAAUAUUUAAAAAUAAAAAAUGAAAAUAACAAAUCAGCAGUUGGAGACAAGUUUAGGACAGGUGGGGACAGGUUUAGGACAGGUGGGGACAGGUUUAGGACAGGUCGGGACAGGUUUAGGACAGGUGGGGACAGGUUUAGGACAGGUCGGGACAGGUUUAGGACAGGUGGGGACAGGUUUAGGACUGGUGGAGACAGGUCGGGACAGGUUUAGGACAGGUGGGGACAGGUUUAGGACAGGUUAGGACAGGUUGAGGACAGGUGGGGACAGGUUUAGGACAGGUGGGGACAGGUUUAGGACAGGUGGGGACAGGUUGAGGACAGGUGGAGACAGGUUUAGGACAGGUGGGGACAGGUUUAGGACAGGUGGGGACAGGUAAGGACGGAUAAGGACAGGUGGGGACAGGUUUAGGACAGGUGGGGACAGGUAAGGACGGGUGAGGACAGGUUUAGGACAGGUGGGGACAGAUUUAGGACAGGUGAGGACAGGUUUAGGACAGGUGG